GAUGAACGCUAGCUACAGGCUUAACACAUGCAAGUCGAGGGGAAACGACAUCGAAAGCUUGCUUUUGAUGGGCGUCGACCGGCGCACGGGUGAGUAACGCGUAUCCAACCUGCCCACCACUUGGGGAUAACCUUGCGAAAGUAAGACUAAUACCCAAUGACGUCUCUAGAAGACAUCUGAAAGAGAUUAAAGAUUUAUCGGUGAUGGAUGGGGAUGCGUCUGAUUAGCUUGUUGGCGGGGUAACGGCCCACCAAGGCGACGAUCAGUAGGGGUUCUGAGAGGAAGGUCCCCCACAUUGGAACUGAGACACGGUCCAAACUCCUACGGGAGGCAGCAGUGAGGAAUAUUGGUCAAUGGACGAGAGUCUGAACCAGCCAAGUAGCGUGCAGGAGGACGGCCCUAUGGGUUGUAAACUGCUUUUAGAAGGGAAUAAAGUGAGUCUCGUGAGACUUUUUGCAUGUACCUUAUGAAUAAGGACCGGCUAAUUCCGUG
rnacentral:rRNA from 1 species